rnacentral:rRNA from 1 species
UACAGAGGGGGCCAGCGUUGUUCGGAAUUACUGGGCGUAAAGGGCGCGUAGGCGGCCCGCUAAGUCGAACGUGAAAUCCCCGGGCUCAACCCGGGAACUGCGUCCGAUACUGGCAGGCUUGAAUCCGGGAGAGGGAUGUGGAAUUCCAGGUGUAGCGGUGAAAUGCGUAGAUAUCUGGAGGAACACCGGUGGCGAAGGCGGCAUCCUGGACCGGCAUUGACGCUGAGGCGCGAUAGCCAGGGGAGCAAACGGG